ACUCAAUUAAUAUCUUAAAAAAUAUAGUUAAAUAAAACACUUAAAUAUUAAUAUUACUCUUAACCAAACAAAUAAAAGUACUGAAAAGGAAGCAAUAAUAACUUAAAGUAGUGAUCGACUCACGUACCUUGUGCAUUAUGGUUUUACAAGCUAAUAAUUAAAAAUAACCUCCCGAAUCCUGUGCGAGCUGCUUAUAUAUAGCUAAGAGCCCACUACUAGUUGUAGCAACAACUUUAGACAAUAUAUUAGCAGAGGCUACAUACCACCCGCGCCAGGAAAUUGCUGGUUCUCAGUAAAAUUUAUAUAUUAAAACAUGUAGUAAUUAAUUACUGUGUAAGACCUUAGAGGAUAAGCCCUAAAGUCUAAAGCUAAAUAAUAUUAAUUUAAAUUAAAUAGGCCUAAAACCAGCCACCGACAGUACUUUACCGUACUAAGUAUAUAAUAAACAAUCUAAUAUGCACCAUAAAACAGAGAUAUAAGAAAAAUCAAAUAUCUUAAAAUAAUAUGUAAAAAUAAGUAUUAUAAAACAAAAUAACCUUUAAAUAUAAAUAAACCAAAAUUAAAAAAAAUAAACACUUAUGAAGGAACUCGGCAAAUCAUUAUUUCGACUGUUUAACAAAAACAUUGCUUCUUGUAAUAUAUAAGAAGUAAUUCCUGCCCAG
rnacentral:rRNA from 1 species